rnacentral:rRNA from 1 species
AAUUUUGGACAAUGGGCGCAAGCCUGAUCCAGCCAUGCCGCGAGAGUGAAGAAGGCCUUCGGGUUGUAAAGCUCUUUCGGACGGAAAUAAAUAGCGAAGGAUAAUACCACGCGCGGUUGACGGCACCGUCUUUAGAAGCAACGGCCACCUACGGUCCAGCAGCCGCGGUAAUACGUAGGGUGCGAGCGUUAAUCGGAAUUACUGGGCGGAAAGCGUGCGCAGGCGGUUGAUUAAGACAGGCGUGAAAUCCCCGGGCUUAACCUGGUAACUGCGCUUGUGACUGGUCAGCUAGAGUACGGCAGAGGGGGGUGGAAUUCCACGUGUAGCAGUGAAAUGCGUAGAGAUGUGGAGGAACACCGAUGGCGAAGGCGACUUUCUGGACUUAUACUGACGCUGAGGAACGAAAGCGUGGGGAGCAAACAGG